rnacentral:pre_miRNA from 1 species
UCUUAUGGAUGAACAAAGACAAUGGUUUCUUGGGAUGGAAUCUAUUCCUGGUGAGGAUGCUAUGAA